GAUCUGCACGUGUUUCGAAUGUAAGUCUGUCUGAGAACCAAAAUUUAUGUAAGAGGUCAUGUAUUUGACCAAUCUGUGCUGCUCCAUUACUACCAGAAGAACAACUGCAGCUACGAUCCUCAUCCUCCCAUUUAUUCUUUUCCCAUGAGAUCUAGACAUUUGAAAGGUAGAGGAAGAAAUAAGAGGAUGUGUAAGCAGAGCAGAGAUUAGAAAAUCACUAGGUGGCACUGUUGUUUUGCAAAAAAGUGCCAUAGAACAUCAAUGAUACAACCUGGAGAAAUAUGUGAUUUUUA